GACCUGUAAAAUGUGCAUAAAGAUAGGCUACGGUGGCCCUCCUGGGGGAGCAGCCCUAGAGUUGAGGUGCACGUGUCUGCCGGACUUGUCCCUGAGGCUGAUGGAGUAUGCUUUGCCAUGGGCCUUGAAGCCACAAGCUUGCUCCUUGGAGGGCAUGCCCUCCUGCUCGUUCCUUCCAGUUGGUCUGGCACCAGCACCGGGUGAUGGAUGUUCAGACCCUGGGGAAAGCUGGCUGUGCUGCGCUGCACUGUGCUGCCAGGGAGCACACGCCCAUUUAACAUGUCACUGCGAAGGUCUUUGAGACGGUAGAGGUGCUGCUGGGGAGACAGCAGGGCUGUCAGGCGUUGUCUAGGACAGAGAGAGGCAACGCUGGUUGCAACUCACCUGUCUCCUCUUCUGGACGCCCCACUUCAGCUUAGCGCCUGUAUUAGGUGCCUGCUGUGUGUCCGACACUGCGCUAGCUGCCGGGGAGACCGACCAACCCGUCGCGGCUGCUCCCAGAGAAUUUACUUUCUGUUGGGAGACAGAACGUGUGGACAGAGGAACACAAGUGAGACAGUUUGAGGUCGAGAGCCCUUGUAACUCCAGAGGGGAGAAGAAACUUCCCUAGACUCUCUGCUGGGGCACGGGGCACAGAGCACAGGCUGGAGGUCUUCCUGCAUCGUUGUCUGCAGGGUGGCAAGAUGUAAGGAGACUGGCUGCUGGCAGUUGUUGGGGGCCUGUGGGAAAGCAGGCACACUUGUGUAGCCUUUCUGGAGAGCAGUAAAGUUUCUGAACUGUGUAACUAAACCCUUUAGCCCAGCAAUACCCCUCCUAGGCCCAUGCCCCAAAGGUUGAGAGGAGGAGGGAAAGGACUCAUGUACAAACAUUGAUAGAAGCUUCUUUUCGUGGUGACAAAAUGCCCCAUAAACUUGGGGGAUGUUUGAAGAAUGUAAUGGAAGAGUUUUAACCAUAAGAAAUGGGGAUGGGGCCUGUUAAAGAGACAUGGGAAGACUCAGACGAACUGAUGCACAGAGAAAUGAGCAAAACCAGGUGGACACUUUGUGUGCUAAUAACACUGUAAAGACAAGCCUGGGUCAUCGUGGUGACCAAGUCCAAUUUCAGAAGACCUGGGAAGAAGCGGAUGAACCCUCCUCCAAAAUGAGACGUGUAGACUGAGACAUAUCCUUUAUGGACAUAGCCAAUGUUAGGAUUUGUUUUGCUUGACUAUGCAUAUUUGUUAAAGGGGGUUUUCUUUUUGGUUUUAUUUUUUCUGGGGGAGAGGGUGGGGAGAGGGAGACAAAAUAGAUUUUUGUUAAUUGAUAAAAAUAAAAUUGAUUUUAAAAAGAU
rnacentral:lncRNA from 1 species